rfam:Rattus norvegicus chromosome 7, whole genome shotgun sequence.
GGGGAUUUGGCUCAGUGGUAGAGCACUUGCCUAGCAAGCACAAGGCCCUGGGUUCGGUCCCCAGCUCCA